GAUGAACGCUGGCGGCGUGCCUAAUACAUGCAAGUCGAGCGAACGAAGGAGAAGCUUGCUUCUCUUAGAUGAGCGGCGGACGGGUGAGUAACACGUGGGUAACCUACCUAUAAGACUUGGAUAACUGCGUGAAACCGUAGCUAAUACCGGAUAAUAUUUGUAACCGCAUUGUUCAAAAGUGAAAGGCUAUCUUGCUGUCACGUGUAGGUCUAUCCGCCCUGCAGUAUGUAGUUGGUAAGGUAACGGCUUACCAAGGCAACGCUGCAUAGCCGACCUGAGGGGGUGAUCGGCCAGAUCGGAAUUGAGACACGGUACAGCCUACUACGGGAGGCAGCAGUAGGGAAUCUUACGCAAUGGGAGAAAGCCUGACGGAGCACCGCGGCGUGAGUGAUGAAGUUCUUCGGAUCGUAAAACUCUGCUAUUAGGGAAGAAAAGAUGUGUAAGUAACUGUGCACAUCUUGACGGUACCUAAUCAGAAAGCCCCGGCUAACUACGUG
rnacentral:rRNA from 1 species